GUCGAACGGUAACAUGGGUCUUCGGACCUGAUGACGAGUGGCGAACGGGUGAGUAAUGCAUCGGAACGUGCCUAGUAGAGGGGGAUAGCCCGGCGAAAGCCGGAUUAAUACCGCAUACGCCUUGAGGGGGAAAGCGGGGGAUCUUAGGACCUCGCGUUAUUAGAGCGGCCGAUGUUCGAUUAGCUAGUUGGUAGGGUAAAGGCUUACCAAGGCGACGAUCGAUAGCUGGUCUGAGAGGAUGAUCAGCCACACUGGGACUGAGACACGGCCCAGACUCCUACGGGAGGCAGCAGUGGGGAAUUUUGGACAAUGGGGGGAACCCUGAUCCAGCCAUGCCGCGUGAGUGAAGAAGGCCCUCGGGCUGUAAAGCUCUUUUGUCCGGGAGGAAAUCGUCUAUGUGAAUAAUGUAGAUGGAUGACAGUACUGGAAGAAUAAGCACCGGCUAACUACGUGCCAGCAGCCGCGGUAAUACGUAGGGUGCGAGCGUUAAUCGGAAUUACUGGGCGUAAAGGGUGCGCAGGUGGUUUAUCAAGCCAGAUGUGAAAUCCCCGGGCUUAACCUGGGAAUGGCAUUUGGGACUGAUAGACUAGAGUACGGCAGAGGGGGGUAGAAUUCCACGUGUAGCAGUGAAAUGCGUAGAGAUGUGGAGGAAUACCGAUGGCGAAAGGCAGCCCCCUGGGUUGACACUGACACUCAAGCACGAAAGCGUGGGUAGCAAACAGGAUUAGAUACCCUGGUAGUCCACGCCCUAAACGAUGUCUACUAGUUGUUGGGAGAUUAAAUCUUUUAGUAACGAAGCUAACGC
rnacentral:rRNA from 1 species